GACGAACGCUGGCGGCGUGCUUAACACAUGCAAGUCGAACGAUGAACCACUUCGGUGGGGAUUAGUGGCGAACGGGUGAGUAACACGUGGGCAAUCUGCCCUUCACUCUGGGACAAGCCCUGGAAACGGGGUCUAAUACCGGAUAACACUGCCACGGGCAUCUGUGGUGGUUAAAAGCUCCGGCGGUGAAGGAUGAGCCCGCGGCCUAUCAGCUUGUUGGUGAGGUAAUGGCUCACCAAGGCGACGACGGGUAGCCGGCCUGAGAGGGCGACCGGCCACACUGGGACUGAGACACGGCCCAGACUCCUACGGGAGGCAGCAGUGGGGAAUAUUGCACAAUGGGCGAAAGCCUGAUGCAGCGACGCCGCGUGAGGGAUGACGGCCUGGUUGUAAC
rnacentral:rRNA from 1 species